rnacentral:tRNA from 1 species
GCCCUUUUAGCUCAGUUCGGUAGAGCAUCCGACUUUUACGCGUUUUUCCCAGCCGUGAGAACCCCAUCGGGCGGUCGCGGGUUCGAUCCCCGCAGAGGGCU